rnacentral:lncRNA from 1 species
GUGUCUGUCUUUAGGAAAGUCACAUCACUGCUCUAACCCUCAGUUUACUCAUCUGUAAGAUGGGAUAAGGAUUACCCUUGCUCUGUCUACUUCACAGUGAUGUGUGGCAUUGUGACACAGCCUUGGAUGUUGUUAAGGGGUGUACACAGGGCAGAGCUGGUUGGUCUUGCUUCUGUUGUUACUCUGCUGCAAGAUCCUUUUUGCCUGACAAACCUCCCAUCUGGGUUCAGAUGUAGGCAGAAUUGAUGGCUACCCACGUGGGACUAUUGAGAAACUUAAGGACAGGAAUCAGGACUUAAAUUCUCUAAGUGUUCAGCCAAUUCACCAUUCAUUCAGUCAACAUACAUUUUUUUUUUUGAGCUUCCUCUCUUAUGUCAAGCCCUUUGAUGCCCUGGGCCUUUGAAGAUGAAUAAGAAGCUGGCACGGAGUAGGGGCCCAGUGAUGGACUAAAGAAGGAAUGAGUGGACACACCUGCUGCCCUGGGGUGCUUUUUGUCCAGGUAACAACAGUUGCUACCACUGUUUAUUGAGCCAUUACAAUAUAUCAGGAAUUCACUGGCACGGACUUCGAUGGGAUGGGAUAGGGCACUUAGUGGCCAGGCUGGUCAUUCUUACGACAGACGUCUGAGCCCUAGGAGAGACCAAAGAGACUCAUUAGGCAACCGAUCAAGCAGUCAAUCAGUCAAUCAACCAGCAAGCCAAGGACAAAGCUCCAACUGAGAAGAGGUUCACUAACUUGGAAAUUUGUGGAUGUUUAAUCAAAAUGAAGAAACUCUGCCCUGCUUCAGAAGAGUGUCCUUCCAGCGACCGUUUGGUGGCUUUUGUGUUUUUUCUGUGGGGGAGGGGCAGGAGGGAGGCUCUUACUUGACUAUCUGAGGAUGGGGGCUAGUAAAUGAGUGGGAAGUUGGGGGUGCGGGGUCUCUGUCUUCCCCCGCAUCCAUA